rnacentral:lncRNA from 1 species
ACAAACACUAAAAACGGACCCGGAUGCAGUCGAUGCUGUGUUUGCCUGGAGUUUCCAUUGGGAAUGUAUUUUGCAUGAUGUACCGCGCCGCUGAGCUAAUGCUCAAAUUGGAAUACAAGCACCGGGUGUCGUCAAAGCCUUGUUACCGCUGUGCGGUCUUGUGACCAGCACCAAAUCUGUAAGUUUAUGAAAUGAUUGCACCGGAACACCUGAACAGAUGGAAAAAAAACUCGAGGUUUUUGUCUGACUUCGACUGAGGCCCCGUGGAGCCACCGACACGUGACCUGCCAG